rnacentral:rRNA from 1 species
UUAAGUGACUAAGCGUACACGGUGGAUGCCUGGGCAGUCAGAGGCGAUGAAGGACGUACUAACUUGCGAUAAGCGCAGAUAAGGCAGUAAGAGCCGUUUGAGUCUGCGAUUUCCGAAUGGGGAAACCCAACUGCAUAAGCAGUUACUGUUAACUGAAUACAUAGGUUAACAGAGCAAACCGGGGGAACUGAAACAUCUAAGUACCCCGAGGAGAAGAAAUCAACCGAGAUUCCGGUAGUAGCGGCGAGCGAACCUGGAUUAGCCCUUAAGCACUCGGUGAAGUAGGUGAACAAGCUGGAAAGCUUGGCGAUACAGGGUGAUAGCCCCGUAACCGACGCUUCAUCGAGCGUGAAAUCGAGUAGGGCGGGACACGUGAUAUCCUGUCUGAAUAUGGGGGGACCAUCCUCCAAGGCUAAAUACUCCUGACUGACCGAUAGUGAACCAGUACCGUGAGGGAAAGGCGAAAAGAACCCCUGUGAGGGGAGUGAAAUAGAACCUGAAACCGUGUACGUACAAGCAGUAGGAGCACCUUCGUGGUGUGACUGCGUACCUUUUGUAUAAUGGGUCAGCGACUUAUAUUCAGUGGCAAGGUUAACCGUAUAGGGGAGCCGUAGCGAAAGCGAGUCUUAACUGGGCGCUCAGUCUCUGGAUAUAGACCCGAAACCGGGUGAUCUAGCCAUGGGCAGGUUGAAGGUUGAGUAACAUCAACUGGAGGACCGAACCGACUAAUGUUGAAAAAUUAGCGGAUGACUUGUGGCUAGGGGUGAAAGGCCAAUCAAACUCGGAGAUAGCUGGUUCUCCCCGAAAGCUAUUUAGGUAGCGCCUCGGACGAAUACUACUGGGGGUAGAGCACUGUUAAGGCUAGGGGGUCAUCCCGACUUACCAACCCUUUGCAAACUCCGAAUACCAGUAAGUACUAUCCGGGAGACACACGGCGGGUGCUAACGUCCGUCGUGGAGAGGGAAACAACCCAGACCGCCAGCUAAGGUCCCAAAGUAUUGCUAAGUGGGAAACGAUGUGGGAAGGCUCAGACAGCUAGGAUGUUGGCUUAGAAGCAGCCAUCAUUUAAAGAAAGCGUAAUAGCUCACUAGUCGAGUCGGCCUGCGCGGAAGAUGUAACGGGGCUAAGCAAUACACCGAAGCUGCGGCAAUAUCUUUUAGAUAUUGGGUAGGGGAGCGUUCUGUAAGCCGUUGAAGGUGAAUCGUAAGGUUUGCUGGAGGUAUCAGAAGUGCGAAUGCUGACAUGAGUAACGACAAAGGGGGUGAAAAACCUCCUCGCCGGAAGACCAAGGGUUCCUGUCCAACGUUAAUCGGGGCAGGGUGAGUCGACCCCUAAGGUGAGGCCGAAAGGCGUAAUCGAUGGGAAACGGGUUAAUAUUCCCGUACUUCUGACUAUUGCGAUGGGGGGACGGAGAAGGCUAGGUGGGCCAGGCGACGGUUGUCCUGGUUCAAGUGCGUAGGCUUGAGAGUUAGGUAAAUCCGGCUCUCUUUAAGGCUGAGACACGACGUCGAGCUGCUACGGCAGUGAAGUCAUUGAUGCCAUGCUUCCAGGAAAAGCCUCUAAGCUUCAGAUAGUCAGGAAUCGUACCCCAAACCGACACAGGUGGUCGGGUAGAGAAUACCAAGGCGCUUGAGAGAACUCGGGUGAAGGAACUAGGCAAAAUGGUACCGUAACUUCGGGAGAAGGUACGCUCUUGAUGGUGAAGUCCCUCGCGGAUGGAGCUGACGAGAGUCGCAGAUACCAGGUGGCUGCAACUGUUUAUUAAAAACACAGCACUGUGCAAAAUCGCAAGAUGACGUAUACGGUGUGACGCCUGCCCGGUGCCGGAAGGUUAAUUGAUGGGGUUAGCGCAAGCGAAGCUCUUGAUCGAAGCCCCGGUAAACGGCGGCCGUAACUAUAACGGUCCUAAGGUAGCGAAAUUCCUUGUCGGGUAAGUUCCGACCUGCACGAAUGGCGUAAUGAUGGCCACGCUGUCUCCACCCGAGACUCAGUGAAAUUGAAAUCGCUGUGAAGAUGCAGUGUACCCGCGGCUAGACGGAAAGACCCCGUGAACCUUUACUACAGCUUGGCACUGAACAUUGAACCUACAUGUGUAGGAUAGGUGGGAGGCUAUGAAGACGUGACGCCAGUUGCGUUGGAGCCGUCCUUGAAAUACCACCCUUGUAUGUUUGAUGUUCUAACUUAGACCCGUUAUCCGGGUUGAGGACAGUGCCUGGUGGGUAGUUUGACUGGGGCGGUCUCCUCCCAAAGAGUAACGGAGGAGCACGAAGGUGGGCUAAUCACGGUUGGACAUCGUGAGGUUAGUGCAAUGGCAUAAGCCCGCUUAACUGCGAGAAUGACGGUUCGAGCAGGUGCGAAAGCAGGUCAUAGUGAUCCGGUGGUUCUGUAUGGAAGGGCCAUCGCUCAACGGAUAAAAGGUACUCCGGGGAUAACAGGCUGAUACCGCCCAAGAGUUCAUAUCGACGGCGGUGUUUGGCACCUCGAUGUCGGCUCAUCACAUCCUGGGGCUGAAGUCGGUCCCAAGGGUAUGGCUGUUCGCCAUUUAAAGUGGUACGCGAGCUGGGUUUAGAACGUCGUGAGACAGUUCGGUCCCUAUCUGCCGUGGGCGUUGGAAGAUUGAAGGGGGCUGCUCCUAGUACGAGAGGACCGGAGUGGACGAACCUCUGGUGUUCGGGUUGUGUCGCCAGACGCAUUGCCCGGUAGCUAAGUUCGGAAUUGAUAAGCGCUGAAAGCAUCUAAGCGCGAAGCGAGCCCUGAGAUGAGUCUUCCCUGA